rnacentral:rRNA from 1 species
UAGGGAAUCUUCCACAAUGGACGCAAGUCUGAUGGAGCAACGGCCGCGUGAGUGAAGAAGGUUUUCGGAUCGUAAAGCUCUGUUGUUGGUGAAGAAGGAUAGAGGCAGUAACUGGUCUUUAUUUGACGGUAAUCAACCAGAAAGUCACGGCUAACUACGUGCCAGCAGCCGCGGUAAUACGUAGGUGGCAAGCGUUGUCCGGAUUUAUUGGGCGUAAAGCGAGCGCAGGCGGAAUGAUAAGUCUGAUGUGAAAGCCCACGGCUCAACCGUGGAACUGCAUCGGAAACUGUCAUUCUUGAGUGCAGAAGAGGAGAGUGGAACUCCAUGUGUAGCGGUGGAAUGCGUAGAUAUAUGGAAGAACACCAGUGGCGAAGGCGGCUCUCUGGUCUGCAACUGACGCUGAGGCUCGAAAGCAUGGGUAGCGAACAGGAUUAGAUACCCUGGUAGUCCAUGCCGUAAACGAUGAGCGCUAGGUGUUGGGGACUUUCCGUGCUCCNGUGUGCCGCAGC